rnacentral:rRNA from 1 species
GAUGAACGCUAGCGGCAGUCCUAACACAUGCAAGUCGAGGGAUAAGCCUUCGGGCUAAGACCGGCGCACGGGUGCGUAACGCGUAUACAAUCUGCCUUUUAUCCGGGGGAUAGCCCGAAGAAAUUUGGAUUAAUACCCUAUGGUAUAAGAGCACGGCAUCGUGCACUUAUUAAAGCUACGGCGGUAAAAGAUGAGUAUGCGUUCUAUUAGCUAGUUGGAGAGGUAACGGCUCCCCAAGGCGACGAUAGAUAGGGGUUCUGAGAGGGAUGUCCCCCACACUGGUACUGAGAUACGGACCAGACUCCUACGGGAGGCAGCAGUGAGGAAUAUUGGACAAUGGUCGGAAGACUGAUCCAGCCAUGCCGCGUGCAGGAUGACGGCCUUAUGGGUUGUAAACUGCUUUUGUAAGGGAAGAAUAAGGAGUACGUGUACUUUGAUGACGGUACCUUACGAAUAAGCAUCGGCUAACUCCGUG